AUGGGAAAGAUUGACUCACGAGAGAUUGGAGAGGUAGAUUCACACAGUGAUAGUGCAAGCAGCUUGCUUCUAAUUAAAUAUGCGACUGAGUCUCAAUGCAUUUGCUUUCAGCCGCAGAGAGAAGAAGCUGCCCAAGAAUGGAAAGGAAGAAAUAUAUCACAUCAUCUGUCUGUCCACAGGCUUUCCUUGGGGCUUAUGAAGAUUCUUCAAUCUUCUCAAUCUUGCUGCAUCCCCCUCUCACUUGGCAGACUCUGCCUGAGCCCUCACACUGCUGCUUCCUUCACAUCAGUGGACUUUCCAGCCUCUUCUCUUCACACUGGCCCUUUAAGAAGACAUUUAAAGCAAUUAUUCAUGAAUGAAGGAGGGAAGAAAGGAGAGACAGAGAGAAUAUGGCUGAACUUGGCGCACCGCUGAUUCUGAUGAAUGUGAUCAUCAUCACUCGCUCCUGGCCUUCUGCGGUUCUUGCAACUCUGUUGACAUUCCUGCAUCCUGGGAUAUACAACACAUACUCAACCAUAAACCCUACGAGCCUGUUGUCUUGUGGAGGAAGCAGCCGAGCAGCACAGCUCUGGAAUAGAUCUCUCUUCCUCCCACAUCUCUCUGAACACUUCUUUCCUUCGUAUCCUCCCACAGGCCCACAAUUUAAAAAUUCUUAUUUCUCCCAGAAUACUAGAAAAGUGGUUGAAAGCACAUGGGUCCCAGUUACUGUUCUAAAAUUCACAUCUAAUUAUGCCACUUACCGUUUGAAAACACCUUUGAUACUUUCUCAUCUCCCAUGGGAUAAAAUAUGAACUUCCUAGAAUGACUUUCAUGUAUCUUUCCUUAUUUUGUAGUCCUGCCAUCUCAUGGCAUUCCUUCCCAUUGCUCUUCAUUCUCAUACUUGCACACCUCUUAACUUUGUUACCUCCAUGUCUUCUGCACCCUCUCCCCUCUACUAAGUAAGUUCUUUUCUUUGCCUGGUAAUCUCUUACUGUCCUUGAAGAUUCAGCUCAAAGUUCCCCUUUUGGCCGAGUGUAGUGGCUCACGCCUGUAAUCUCAACACUUUGGGAAGCCGAGGUGGGUGGAUCACUUGAGGUCAGGAGUUCGAGACCAGCCUGGUCAACACGGUGAAACCCCAUCUCUACUAAAAUACAAAAAUUAGCUGGGCAUGGUGGUGGGCGCUUAUAAUCCCAGCUACGCUACUUGGGAGGCUGAGGCAGGAGAAUCACUUGAACCCGGGAGGUAGAGGUUGCAGUGAGCCGAAAUUGUGCCACUGCACUCCAGCCUGGGUGACAGGGCAAGACUCCAUCUAAAAAAAAAAAAAAAAAAAAAGAAAGUACCACUUUCAUGCUUUCUUUGACAUUCUUAGCUGUUUACUUGUCUAAUACAAUUUUUACACCUACUUCUUCCUGGUUAGGGAUCUCCAGUAAGAGAGAACUCCAUUUAAAAGUUGUCUGCAGUGUCCUCUGUAUGGGAGGAGAUAGCAUGGGAGGAGAUAGAUAUGCUAUCUCCUUUGGAGUACAGAGUCAUGUAUUCAGCUGUCCCCUUGACACCUCCACUUGGCUGACCCAAAGGCAAUUCACAGUUGAUGUGUUCCUCACAGAUUUCCAACCAAGACCUGAUCUUCCUUAGUCUCUCCUAUUUCAGUGAAUGAUCCUAC
rnacentral:lncRNA from 1 species